GCUCCCGUAGCUCAGUUGGAUAGAGCGACUGCCUCCGGAGCAGUAGGUUGCAGGUUCGAAUCCUGUCGGGAGUACCA
rnacentral:tRNA from 1 species